GACGAACGCUGGCGGCGUGCCUAAUACAUGCAAGUCGAGCGCAGGAAGCCGUCUGAACCCUUCGGGGGGACGACGGUGGAAUGAGCGGCGGACGGGUGAGUAACACGUAAAGAACCUGCCCAUAGGUCUGGGAUAACCACGAGAAAUCGGGGCUAAUACCGGAUGUGUCAUCGGACCGCAUGGUCCGCUGAUGAAAGGCGCUUCGGCGUCGCCCAUGGAUGGCUUUGCGGUGCAUUAGCUAGUUGGUGGGGUAACGGCCCACCAAGGCGACGAUGCAUAGCCGACCGGAGAGGGGGAUCGGCCACACUGGGACUGAGACACGGCCCAGACUCCUACGGGAGGCAGCAGUAGGGAAUCUUCCACGAUGGACGAAAGUCUGAUGGGGCAACGCCGCGUGAACGAUGAAGGCUUUCGGGUCGUAAAGUUCUGUUGUAAGGGAAGAACAAGUGCCGCAGGCAAUGGCGGCACCUUGACGGUACCUUGCGAGAAAGCCACGGCUAACUACGUGCCAGCAGCCGCAGUAA
rnacentral:rRNA from 1 species